rnacentral:rRNA from 1 species
UACGGAGGGGGCAAGCGUUAUUCGGAAUUAUUGGGCGUAAAGGGCGCGUAGGCGGCUAGAUGUGUCAAAGGUGAAACCCCUCGGCUCAACUGAGGAACUGCCUUUGAAACUGUCUGGCUUGAGGCCGGGAGAGGGUAGCGGAAUUCCCAGUGUAGCGGUGAAAUGCGUAGAUAUUGGGAGGAAUACCAGUGGCGAAGGCGGCUACCUGGACCGGUUCUGACGCUGAGGCGCGAAAGCGUGGGUAGCAAACAGG